rnacentral:rRNA from 2 species
GUCUGCAUGGAGCCGGCCUUGAAAUACCACCCUUUAAUGUUUGAUGUUCUAACGUGGACCCGUGAUCCGGGUUGCGGACAGUGUCUGGUGGGUAGUUUGACUGGGGCGGUCUCCUCCUAAAGAGUAACGGAGGAGCACGAAGGUUGGCUAAUCCUGGUCGGACAUCAGGAGGUUAGUGCAAUGGCAUAAGCCAGCUUGACUGCGAGCGUGACGGCGCGAGCAGGUGCGAAAGCAGGUCAUAGUGAUCCGGUGGUUCUGAAUGGAAGGGCCAUCGCUCAACGGAUAAAAGGUACUCCGGGGAUAACAGGCUGAUACCGCCCAAGAGUUCAUAUCGACGGCGGUGUUUGGCACCUCGAUGUCGGCUCAUCACAUCCUGGGGCUGAAGUAGGUCCCAAGGGUAUGGCUGUUCGCCAUUUAAAGUGGUACGCGAGCUGGGUUUAGAACGUCGUGAGACAGUUCGGUCCCUAUCUGCCGUGGGCGCUGGAGAACUGAGGGGGGCUGCUCCUAGUACGAGAGGACCGGAGUGGACGCAUCACUGGUGUUCGGGUUGUCAUGCCAAUGGCACUGCCCGGUAGCUAAAUGCGGAAGAGAUAAGUGCUGAAAGCAUCUAAGCACGAAACUUGCCCCGAGAUGAGUUCUCCCUGACCCUUUAAGGGUCCUGAAGGAACGUUGAAGACGACGACGUUGAUAGGCCGGGUGUGUAAGCGCAGCGAUGCGUUGAGCUAACCGGUACUAAUGAACCGUGAGG